ACGGCCUUCGGGUUGUAAACCUCUUUCAGCAGGGAAGAAGCCCUCUUUUGGGGGUGACGGUACCUGCAAAAGAAUACCGGCUAACUACGUGCCAGCAACCGCGGUUAUACGUAGGGUACAAGGGUUGUCCGGAAUUAUUGGGCGUAAAGAACUCGUAGGCGGUUCCUCCCGUCUGCUGUGGAAACGCAAGGCUCAACCUUGCGCGUGCAGCGGGUACGGGCGUAACUAGAGUGCAGUAGGGGAGUCUGGAAUUCCUGGUGUAGCGGUGAAAUGCGCAGAUAUCAGGAGGAACACCGGUGGCGAAGGCGGGACUCUGGGCUGUUACUGACUCUGAGGAGCGAAAGCAUGGGGAACGAACAGGAUUAGAUACCCUGGUAGUCCAUGCCGUAAACGUUGGGCACUAAGUGUGGGA
rnacentral:rRNA from 1 species